rnacentral:rRNA from 1 species
GAUGAACGCUGGCGGCGUGCUUAACACAUGCAAGUCGAACGGAAAGGCCCAAGCUUGCUUGGGUACUCGAGUGGCGAACGGGUGAGUAACACGUGGGUGAUCUGCCCUGCACUUCGGGAUAAGCCUGGGAAACUGGGUCUAAUACCGGAUAGGACCACAUUUUGGAUGGUGUGGUGGAAAGUUUUUCGGUGUGGGAUGAGCUCGCGGCCUAUCAGCUUGUUGGUGGGGUAAUGGCCUACCAAGGCGUCGACGGGUAGCCGGCCUGAGAGGGUGUACGGCCACAUUGGGACUGAGAUACGGCCCAGACUCCUACGGGAGGCAGCAGUGGGGAAGAUUGCACAAUGGGCGCAAGCCUGAUGCAGCGACGCCGCGUGGGGGAUGACGGCCUUCGGGUUGUAAACUCCUUGCGCUAGGGACGAAGCGUUAUGUGACGGUACCUGGAGAAGAAGCACCGGCUAACUACGUG